CCGUAGGGUGAACCUGCGGAAGGAUCAUUACCUUUCAAUGCAGCAGAAUUGGGAUGGUUGAGUAUCUCGCCUCUCAGUUCUGCCUGUAUUCUACCCUUGUUUGUCAUAUACUAUUAUUUCCUCGGCAGGCUUGCCUGCCGAGUGAAACCAUUUAUAACCUUUUUAAUUUUCAAUCAGCGUCUGAAAAAAUUUAAUAAUUACAACUUUCAACAACGGAUCUCUUGGUUCUGGCAUCGAUGAAGAACGCAGCGAAAUGCGAUAAGUAGUGUGAAUUGCAGAAUUCAGUGAAUCAUCGAAUCUUUGAACGCACAUUGCGCCCCUUGGUAUUCCAUGGGGCAUGCCUGUUCGAGCGUCAUUUGUACCUUCAAGCUUUGCUUGGUGUUGGGUGUUUGUCCCGAGGGACUCGCCUUAAAGUAAUUGGCAGCCAGUGUUUGGUUUUGAAGCGCAGCACAAGUCGCGAUUCAAGGCUACACGCCCGCUUCCACAAGCCUUUUUUCACUUUUGACCUCGGAUCAGGUAGGGAUACCCGCUGAACUUAAGCAUAUCAAUAAGCGGAGGA
rnacentral:rRNA from 1 species